rnacentral:tRNA from 1 species
GCCUCAGUAGCUCAGUAGGUAGAGCGAUCGCCUCGUAAGCGAUAGGUCGGGGGUUCAAAUCCCUCCUGGGGCU